rnacentral:rRNA from 1 species
UCAGACCCGUGGCAAAUAGCUCAGUAGCACGUGGCCAAUCUACCCUCUGGAACGGCAUACCCUCGGGAAACUGAGGUUAAUUCCGUACACCGCUCUCAACCUGGAAUGGUGGGAGCUCGAAACGCUCCGGCGCCGGAGGAUGAGGCUGCGGCCGAUUAGGUUGACGGUGGGGUAAUGGCCCACCGUGCCGAUAAUCGGUCUGGGUCAUGAGAGUGAGAACCCAGAGACGGAAUCUGAGACAAGAUUCCGGGCCCUACGGGGCGCAGCAGGCGCGAAACCUUUACACUGCACGCCAGUGCGAUAAGGGGACCCCAAGUGCGCAGGCAUAGUGCCUGCGCUUUUCUGGACUGUAGGGCGGUCCAGGAACAAGGGCUGGGCAAGACCGGUGCCAGCCGCCGCGGUAAUACCGGCAGCCCAAGUGAUGGCCGCUGUUAUUGGGCCUAAAGCGUCCGUAGCUGGCCGCACAAGUCCGUCGGGAAAUCCGCCCGCUCAACGGGCGGCCGUCCGGCGGAACCUGUGUGGCUUGGGACCGGGAGGCCUGAGGGGUACGAUCGGGGUAGGAGUGAAAUCCUGUAAUCCCGCUCGGACCGCCGAUGGGGAAACCACCUCAGGAGAACGGAUCCGACAGUGAGGGACGAAAGCCAGGGUCUCGAACCGGAUUAGAUACCCGGGUAGUCCUGGCCGUAAACGAUGCUUGUUAGGUGUGACUCCCACUACGAGUGGGUGUUGUGCCGUAGGGAAGCCG